rnacentral:rRNA from 1 species
AACGAACGCUGGCGGCAUGCCUAACACAUGCAAGUCGAACGAGACGUUCGGGUCUCGCCGCGCUCGGGUUCGUGACGCGUUGGAACAUGCCCUUAGGAUUGGCAUAACUGACUGAGAGGGGUGCUAAUACCGGCUAAUGUUUUCGGACCAAGGAUUUAUCGGCUGUGGGUGGGGGCUCGUAGGAUUCGCUAGCUGGUAGGGUAAAAGCCUAUCAAGGCGACGAUGGGUAGCUGGGCUGCGAGGAUGAUCAGCCACACUGGGACUGAGACACGGCCCAGACUCCUGGGGGAGGCAGUAGUGGAGAAUAGUGGACGGUGGGCGCAAGGCUGAUCCAGCAAUGCGGGGAGAGAGAUGAAGUUCGGAGGGUAGAAAAGCUUCUGUAGCGGAGAUGAUAGUGACGGUACCGGGAGAAGAAGCGCCGGCUAACUACGUG